UACGUAGGGCGCAAGCGUUAAUCGGAAUUACUGGGCGUAAAGCGUGCGCAGGCGGUUAUGUAAGACAGGUGUGAAAUCCCCGGGCUUAACCUGGGAACUGCAUUUGUGACUGCAUAGCUAGAGUACGGUAGAGGGGGAUGGAAUUCCGCGUGUAGCAGUGAAAUGCGUAGAUAUGCGGAGGAACACCGAUGGCGAAGGCAAUCCCCUGGACCUGUACUGACGCUCAUGCACGAAAGCGUGGGGAGCAAACAGG
rnacentral:rRNA from 1 species